rnacentral:rRNA from 1 species
UACAGAGGUCUCAAGCGUUGUUCGGAUUCAUUGGGCGUAAAGGGUGUGUAGGUGGCGCCGUAAGUCGGGUGUGAAAUUUCGGAGCUUAACUCCGAAACUGCAUUCGAUACUGCGGUGCUUGAGGACUGGAGAGGAGACUGGAAUUCAUGGUGUAGCAGUGAAAUGCGUAGAGAUCAUGAGGAAGACCAGUGGCGAAGGCGGGUCUCUGGACAGUUCCUGACACUGAGGCACGAAGGUCAGGGGAGCAAACGGG